rnacentral:rRNA from 1 species
CCUCUAUUCAAAUAAGCUUGGGUAGCUGCUUGGCAACUACGAGCGAGAGCUUAAAAGUCAAAGUACUUGGCGGCUUUCUAAUCUACUUGGAGGAAUAUGCCGAUUGACUCCGAUAAUCCACGGAAAUCUUACCUUACCUUGCAAAAGAGUCAGUCGGUGUACUGCCGUUGUCAGCUGGUUGUGUAUAAGUAAACAAACUGAAAGCGGCCCAAUGAAGAUCGGGGACUUCAGUAAUUCAGGUCGAAGCGCUACCUACGGUUGGUGAAAUUCGGGGUAUUACAUUUCGGACUUAGGGAACUUGACUAACGAAUACUGGGAUUGCAACAUCUAAUUUACGGGGAAGUUGAAUUCAAAAGUAAGGAUGGAUUUUAUAUAAAAAGAGAAUAGCAUGCUCUCCUGAAUAAGCUCUGGGUUGCGUACAAAUCGCCCGUCGCUCUCGCUAUACCUGAAGGG